rnacentral:sRNA from 1 species
UUUUUUUUUUUUUUUUUCUGUUUGCCAAGAUUCAGGACUUGUUGAAAGAGUUAUUACAACUACAACUAUAACUAUAACUACAACUAUAACUACAACGAUAAGAACUAUCACUACUCUGAAGACAACGAUGUGUUUUCUCAAGAUGAUAACGGAUCUAGCUUCGCCAUCAAUAAGUAUGAGACAAAGGAGUCCAUCUUUGAUGAAACAUCCAUUUUCCUGUUGUACAUUUUUGCAGGACAACUAGCCUGAGCACAAGAGACAUGGUGUACUAGACCUUGUGCGGAAUGUCUACUUCAAAACUUGCAUCUUUAUCUGAUAUAUAGAGAUAUAGAGAUAUAGAGAUAUAGAGAUAUAGAGAGAGGCUGAUGAUUUAUAAACACAAACGAUAAGACUUGUAACAUGAAGUUUAUCGAAAAAGUCAAUCUUUAAAUUCCUUUCUGAACCUCUCNGUUAUGUCAGUGCUUCGGUACCAUGCUUUNGGUGCGGUCAUUUAAAGGCAUAGCGAUGAUAGUUCUAAAGUUACUGUAUUGAUCAAUUGGAAGAACAUCCAAAUAAAAAAAAGCAUGCAAAAUGCUAGUAUUAUCAGUAACUGCAAAUAAAAAAAGAUAACAAAAAUUUACAGGGAUCAUCGAGAAGAGUAGAUACUGAUAAUAUUNGAGAUCCACAGCACUCAACAACAGUCUUGGAUUUUAUUUAGCCAUUUGGCNUUAANCUUACUGUCCUCNAACAAUAUUGGUUGNUUNGGCAAUCCNCCAUNAAAUAUAUUGNACCUAGAAAGUAAAAAUUUCGNGGNUGGUCGAAAACAAUUUCCAAUCNGGUU